rnacentral:tRNA from 3 species
GCCCUUGUAGCUCAGUUGGUAGAGCAACGGUUUUGUAAACCGAAGGUCGCGGGUUCGAUUCCUGCCGGGGGCACCA